AACGAACGCUGGCGGCGUGCUUAACACAUGCAAGUCGAACGCGAAAGGGACUUCGGUCCCGAGUAGAGUGGCGCACGGGUGAGUAACGCGUAGAUAAUCUGUCCUUGUGUCUGGAAUAAUACGUCGAAAGGUGUACUAAUACCGGAUAUUCUUGCUUCUCCUAAGGAGAGUAAGCAAAGGUGGCCUCUGACAUAAGCUACUGCAUAAGGAGGAGUCUGCGUACCAUUAGCUAGUAGGUGGGGUAAUGGCCUACCUAGGCUACGAUGGUUAACGGGUCUGAGAGGAUGAUCCGUCACACUGGCACUGGAACACGGGCCAGACUCCUACGGGAGGCAGCAGUGAGGAAUAUUGCGCAAUGGGGGCAACCCUGACGCAGCGACGCCGCGUGAGUGAGGAAGGCCUUCGGGUCGUAAAGCUCUGUCAAAGGGAAAGAAGUGCAUG
rnacentral:rRNA from 1 species